rnacentral:rRNA from 1 species
AGCGAACGCUGGCGGCGUGCCUAACACAUGCAAGUCGAACGUGAAAGGGAGCAAUCCCAAGUAAAGUGGCGUACGGGUGAGUAACACGUAGGUAAUCUACCCCAGAAUCUGGAAUAACCGGCCGAAAGGCUGGCUAAUACUGGAUAGAGCGACGGAAUCCGUAAUUGGGUUUUUCGGGAAAGGGAGCCUGUAAAAAGGCCUUCGUUCUGGGAUGAGCCUGCGUCCCAUCAGCUAGUUGGUGAGGUAAAAGCUUACCAAGGCAAUGACGGGUAGCUGGUCUGAGAGGACGGUCAGCCCCACUGGAACUGAAACACGGUCCAGACUCCUACGGGAGGCAGCAGUGGGGAAUCUUGCGCAAUGGACGAAAGUCUGACGCAGCAACGCCGCGUGAGUGAAGAAGGCCUUCGGGUUGUAAAGCUCUGUCGAGUGGGACGAAAAUGCUUGGAGUUCACAGCUCCAGGAACUGACGGUACCACUAAAGGAAGCACCGGCUAACUCCGUG